UAGCUUCGGGGCUGGGGCACCACCCAGCUGAAGCUCAGAGCAGGACCAAUGGGUGAGACAAAAGCCUGACUUACCAUCUCUCAUUUGGACUUGGACUUUAUCCUUCAGAGUCCCAUACCAUCGAAGAAUAUCACAGGAGCAUUUCUCAUUCUCAGUCAUGACCAAGAAAUUGGAAAUUAAGGACUUGAACCUCCAACCUGGAUUGAAAAUAGAAAUAGAAGGAGUUAUAGCACCUGCACCCAGACACUUUGUCAUCAACUUUGCCCAAGACCGUGACAGCAUUGGAUGUCACUUUAAUGCACGCUUCCGCAGAGAUGAUGAUAGGAACAUCAAUGUCUGAAAUUCCAAGAGGGAUAUUGGAUGGGAUGUAGAACAAAGGGAGACCAAUUUCCCCUUUCAACCAGGGACCCAGUUUAAGGCAAGACCCUUGAAUCAGAGCAUGGAAAAUCCAAGCAUGGAAGGAUCCAAGAGAUGACCUCAUCCAUGCCAUGAAUCUGACAGAGCAGCCCAGGAAUGAAACUCUGAUCAGGGCAAUAUGAAAAGCUAGUGGACAAAGAGAUCAGUGGGUUUCCAUGAGACUAUGGCAAGAAGUUCAGCAUCCUCUGAGCAGAGGAGCAGGAAAAAAGAGAAUCAUAAAGAGUCCUGGUCAAAAGAAAAUAAGAGAAGACUCUGGGGUAUCCUUGACAGAAAAAGGGUUCUUAAAUUUAGAGCUGGAAGGAUCUUCAGAGGUUAUCUACUCUGACCCCCUCAUUUUACAUAAUAGAAAAAGGAGUCUCAUAAAGAUAAAUGAUUUGCCCUAGGUCUCCCAGUAUCUUGGAGUAAGUGUCCUGAAGUAGGAAUUUGAAGAAGGCUUUCCUGCCUCCAAGCCCAAGUCUCUCUCUUCAGUUACUUCUGUUCUCCAUUCAGGUUUUCUUCCUCUUUGAAAAGAGUGUCUUUCAUGUGAUACUCCCAGAUGGCUAUGAGUUCCAGUUAUCAAAUCACCUCCACUUAAACAAAAUUAGAAUCCUGGAAAUUAAGGGUGACUUUGAGCUAAGAUCAUUUUCCUUCAACUGAACCCAACAAUGAAGCCAACUUCAGACCAUUCUUGAUCUUUGGGCUAAUA